rnacentral:snoRNA from 1 species
ACCUUCCAGAUUCCUUACCCAUCAGACCUAAACCCUGAUGAGCAGUGAUAAAAGGAGGAAGAGUAAAAUGGACACAGACUUAAGUUUUUGUUUCAUACACAAGCUAGUUUCAAGCAAAC